rnacentral:rRNA from 1 species
UAGGGAAUCUUCGGCAAUGGACGAAAGUCUGACCGAGCAACGCCGCGUGAGUGAAGAAGGUUUUCGGAUCGUAAAACUCUGUUGUUAGAGAAGAACAAGGACGUUAGUAACUGAACGUCCCCUGACGGUAUCUAACCAGAAAGCCACGGCUAACUACGUGCCAGCAGCCGCGGUAAUACGUAGGUGGCAAGCGUUGUCCGGAUUUAUUGGGCGUAAAGCGAGCGCAGGCGGUUUCUUAAGUCUGAUGUGAAAGCCCCCGGCUCAACCGGGGAGGGUAAUUGGAAACUGGGAGAAUUGAGUGCAGAAGAGGAGAGUGGAAUUCCAUGUGUAGCGGUGAAAUGCGUAGAUAUAUGGAGGAACACCAGUGGCGAAGGCGGCUCUCUGGUCUGUAACUGACGCUGAGGCGAGAAAGAGUGGGGAGCAAACAGG